GCCCCCGUAGCUCAAUUGGAUAGAGCGUCUGACUUCGGAUCAGAAGGUUCUGGGUUCGAAUCCUGGCGGGGGCACCG
rnacentral:tRNA from 1 species